CACAUUCUCCCCUCGAAAAGCAUGAAGGUUAUUAAAAGCCCCAAUCAGUGUGCUCAGUUCAGCAGAACAGACUUAUUUAUGCCCUGUGCAUCGACUGUGUGAUGAUGGCUUUGACAUACAGUCUGUGUCCAGGGAGGACAGUCUUAUUAUUGGUGAUUAUUCACUACUUGGCUGACCUCCAUGAGGUCCCUAACAGUAUGUGAGCCAUCAGGCUGCCCCAUGAGGUCCCUAACAGUAUGUGACAGCCAUCAGGCUGCCCCAUGAGGUCCCUAACAGUAUGUGACAGCCAUCAGGCUGCCCCAUGAGGUCCCUAACAGUAUGUGACAGCCAUCAGGCUGCCCCAUGAGGUCCCUAACAGUAUGUGACAGCCAUCAGGCUGCCCCAUGAGGUCCCUAACAGUAUGUGACAGCCAUCAGGCUGCCCCAUGAGGUCCCUAACAGUAUGUGACAGCCAUCAGGCUGCCCGUGAGGUCCCUAACAGUAUGUGAGCCAUCAAGCUGCCAAAUGAUGUAGACUCAGUUCCACAAACACAGCCUGUGCCUGACUCCUUUUUAAAAAAAAAUCGCUCUUUCCUUUUCAUUCUCUCUAGUUAGUCUUUAAAUUCUGCUACAUAUUCAGGUCAACGAGCCGUGAAUGUGCACAAAAAGCCCUCAGCAAAGUUUAAAUUCUGCUUCUUGCCCAUCCCCCCUGCCUUCAGAUUCUACUUCAUUACCCCCCAGUGUUUAAAGCGGCAAUCAUCAGUUGAAGCAAUAACAAAGCGCCCUCCUCACCACUGUUUCAGUAGAAGGUGUGGCGAUGGGACUGGAGAAAUGUGAGCACUCUCAAAUUCAAAGG